UUGGAUUUCUGUUGGGACUACCUUGUUUUUUUUGGACUCUGUUUACCAGCCACUCUGCCAACCCGUUCCCGUCACCAGCCUCCCCCAACCCCCUCCGCCCAGUGCAUUUUACUUUUCCAGCUGUCGGUAAUCAUGCAGGUGCCUGAUUGGCUGACAAGGCCAGCUGCUGGCUGUUGGGAAGGCCUAUGUAAGUCCAGCUGUGGGAAGGAAGAUGGACUCUAGUCAAAAAGGAAAAGAAGACAAGCAUUUAAAAAGAAAGACGAGCUUCACGGAUGGCAGAAAGAUGCACAAUCGUUUCUUUUACUGAAAAAAAAUGUCCCUUCUCUCACAAAAGAUGCUUCCCUGAGAGGAAGCCUGUCUUUUGCAGGAAGACCCUGAUCACAUUCACACCUGGAAGCUGCCCAGUACAACCCCAGCCUGAUCUGCUGGCCACUGAGCAGAUCCACUGGAGCUGUUGGGGAUUUGGGCCUUGCUCAAGGGCACCUCGGUGGUGGUAAAUGAGGGAGGGCAAGCACCGCUUGGUUUACUUUCCGGCGAUCUCCCAGUCACAAGCUCGCUUCUCUAACUUUUGGGCCACCCCUGCCCCAUUUGGGUCACAGAAUCUGAUAGGUCACACAUUUUGGGGUCACACUGUAUCUCUGGCCUUCUGAACUUCAGACACUUCGACCAGCUAACGUUUGCUUGCU